UUGGAGGGCAAGUCUGGUGCCAGCAGCCGCGGUAAUUCCAGCUCCAAUAGCGUAUAUUAAAGUUGUUGCAGUUAAAAAGCUCGUAGUUGAAUUUCGGGAUUGACGUGACGGUCGUGCCUUACGGGGUAUGAACUGUCGCAGUUGAUUUCUCACCUUCUGGAGAAGCUCGAUGUCCUUAAUUGGGUGUCUUGCGGAACCAUGACCUUUACCUUGAAAAAAUUAGAGUGUUUAAAGCAGGCAUUUUGCUCGAAUACAUUAGCAUGGAAUAAUAGAAUAGGACGGCAUGGUUCUAUUUUGUUGGUUUCUAGGAUCACCGUAAUGAUUAAUAGGGAUAGUUAGGGGCAUUAGUAUUCAAUUGUCAGAGGUGAAAUUCUUGGACUUAUUGAAGACUAACUACUGCGAAAGCAUUUGCCAAGGAUGUUUUCAUUAAUCAAGAACGAAAGUUAGGGGAUCGAAGACGAUCAGAUACCGUCGUAGUCUUAACCAUAAACUAUGCCGACUAGGAAUCAGACGAUGUUAAUUUUUUAAUGACUCGUUCGGCGCCUUACGGGAAAC
rnacentral:rRNA from 1 species